rnacentral:rRNA from 1 species
UCCUACGGGAGGCAGCAGUGGGGAAUAUUGGGCAAUGGGCGAAAGCCUGAUGCAGCCAUGCCGCGUGUGUGAAGAAGGCCUUAGGGUUGUAAAGCACUUUC